rnacentral:rRNA from 1 species
CCUACGGGUGGCAGCAGUGAGGAAUAUUGGUCAAUGGGCGCGAGCCUGAACCAGCCAAGUCGCGUGAGGGAAGACGGUCCUAUGGAUUGUAAACCUCUUUUGUCGGGGAGCAAAAGACGCCACGCGUGGCGUUCCAAGAGUCCCCGAAGAACAAGCAUCGGCUAACUCCGUGCCAGCAGCCGCGGGAAUACGGAGGAUGCGAGCGUUUUCCGGAUUUAUUGGGUUUAAAGGGUGCGCAGGCGGAAGAUCAAGUCAGCGGUAAACUUGAGAGGCCCAAUCUCUUCGAGCCGUUGAAACUGGUUGUCUUGAGUGAACGAGAAGUAUGCGGAAUGCGUGGUGUAGCGGUGGAAUGCAUAGAUAUCACGCAGAACUCCGAUUGCGAAGGCAGCAUACCGGCGCUCAACUGACGCUCAUGCACGAAAGCGUGGGUAUCGAACAGGAUUAGAUACCCGGGUAGUC